rnacentral:rRNA from 1 species
UACGUAGGGGGCAAGCGUUGUCCGGAAUUAUUGGGCGUAAAGCGCGUGUAGGCGGUUCAAUAAGUCUGCUGUAAAAGUCGAGGGCUCAACCCUCGAAGGCCGGUGGAUACUGUUGGGCUAGAGUACGGAAGAGGCGAGUGGAAUUCCUGGUGUAGCGGUGAAAUGCGCAGAUAUCAGGAGGAACACCAAUUGCGAAGGCAGCUCGCUGGGACGUUACUGACGCUGAGACGCGAAAGCGUGGGGAGCAAACAGG